rnacentral:rRNA from 1 species
GUGCCAGCCGCCGCGGCAAUACCGGCAGCCCGAGUGAUGGCCGAUCUUAUUGGGCCUAAAGCGUCCGUAGCUGGCUGCGCAAGUCCGUCGGGAAAUCCACUCGCCCAACGAGUGGGCGUCCGACGAAAACUGCACAGCUUGGGACCGGAAGGCUCGAAGGGUAUGUUCGGGGUAGGAGUGAAAUCCCAUAAUCCCGCACGGACCACCGACGGCGAAAGCACUUCGAGAAAACGGAUCCGACAGUGAGGGACGAAAGCUAAGAUCGCGAACCGGAUUAGAAACCCUUGUAGUCC